rnacentral:rRNA from 1 species
UGGGGGAAAGAACCAACCGGGAUUGCCUCAGUAACGGCGAGUGAAGCGGCAAGAGCUCAAAUUUGAAAUCUGGCCCCUUUGGGGUCCGAGUUGUAAUUUGCAGAGGAUGCUUCGGGUGCGGUCCCCGUCUAAGUGCCCUGGAACGGGCCGUCAUAGAGGGUGAGAAUCCCGUCUGGGAUGGGCGGCCGCGCCCGUGUGAAGCUCCUUCGACGAGUCGAGUUGUUUGGGAAUGCAGCUCUAAGCGGGUGGUAAAUUUCAUCUAAAGCUAAAUACUGGCCGGAGACCGAUAGCGCACAAGUAGAGUGAUCGAAAGAUGAAAAGCACUUUGAAAAGAGAGUUAAACAGCACGUGAAAUUGUUGAAAGGGAAGCGUUGUCCACCAGACUCGCCCGGGGGGGUUCAGCCGGCACGUGUGCCGGUGUACUCCUCUCCGGGCGGGCCAGCAUCGGUUUGGGCGGCUGGUGAAAGGCCCCGGGAAUGUGCCACCCUUCGGGGUGCCUUAUAGCCCGGGGUGCCAUACAGCCAGCCUGGACCGAGGCCCGCGCUUCGGCGAGGAUGCUGGCGUAAUGGUGGUCAACGGCCCGUCUUGAAACACGGACCAAGGAGUCUAACAUCUAUGCGAGUGUUCGGGUGUCAAAACCCGUCCGCGCAGUGAAAAGCGAACGGAGGUGGGAGCCCCCUCGGGGCGCACCAUCGACCGAUCCUGAUGUCUUCGGAUGGAUUUGAGUAAGAGCAUAGCUGUUGGGACCCGAAAGAUGGUGAACUAUGCCUGAAUAGGGCGAAGCCAGAGGAAACUCUGGUGGAUGCUCGCAGCGGUUCUGACGUGCAAUCGAUCGUCAAUUUGGGUAUAGGGGCGAAAGACUAAUCGAACAUCUGGUAGCUGGGUCUGCGAAGGUUCGUAUAGGGAAACCAGCUACCGGAUGGUCCGAU